ACUAUCUAGAUCUACUCUAGUUUAGAGAAGAGAGGAGAGCUCUCAUCUCUAAACCCUAGCUUUUGCUCUGUCUAUGAAUAAUGAAUAAUGAUCAAGGGGUGCCUCCUCCAGGGGCCACGGGGUCUGGUUUUAUAGUCCCCUCAAGUGAACCUGGGCCGUCGGAUCAAACCGACAUUGAUUGAACGGUUAUUCUUGAUCCUUUAGGUCGGUGGAGCAUAAUCCGCGAGAUUGAGCGUGAUUGGCCACAGGAGUAGGACAGGGCGGGCGCCCUGUCUCUGGCCCCGAUUCGCCUCCGCUUCGGUCUCGUGGCUUCUGGAGUCUUCUAGAUGUAAGAUAAUUGCGCGGCAUGUUAAUAUCUUUACGUAAUCCCGACAUGUGGGCCUUUCUUCCUUAUUUCCUGAUAACCCCCUGCAGAAAUAGACAAACACCAAAACUCGUGGAAUUCUGUCAGAUAAAACCCUAAGUCUCGAUGUUGAUUUCAUUUGGAUCCUUUUCUUUGUUUAUUUGAUAGUUAAAUUUGAUACUUAAGAACCGUCAACAAACUCCCCCAAGCUUACCUCUUGCUCGUCCCUGAGCAAGGAUAGACUCAGCUAUGGAUCAUAAGUUGUUGCAAUAUCUUUAAAAAUUGACGGUACACAUGCUUUUAAAUGAGGUCUCAUCUCUGAGUUAGAGUAAACUGUCAAGACUUAAAACUUACUUACUUUACCUUUCACUAUGGGACUUGUAACCGUCACUUCUGUCUUGAGUGGUUAAAAGAUAGAACAGUCCAGUCAAGUGCCAUGUCGCUUAUUCUUGAUCAGCUAUAGCUCUGGAGUUUUUGCAGAUUUUCAAAUAAAACUCAGAGAUUCCUUUGUAUGACUCUCUCAUAUCUCUCUUUUGUGGUAUUUCUGGAUCCUUACCAAGACAGUGAUGGUAUAUGCCUUCUCUCAAAAUAUGUGGUAUUUGUGGUAUAAGGCAUAGUGACAUUGCCUUCUCUCUCACCCUACUCUAAUAAGGCUUUAAUAUCUGGAGCUCAUAGGUGGGAGAUAAAGUAUACAUACUUACAAGACAUUUAUUGUAUAGUCAAACCAUGGAUCCAAAGAGACAAAUCAAUAAGCCAAAUCAAGAUGUGCAUGUGUGGCGAAUGAAUGGUGUAUAGUGAUGAUGGUGAUAACAAUGGUGAAAGUCUAAUUCUACUUUUGCUCUUUUGAAGGGAUACAUACCUUCCUUGCUUUUUGAAACUUUAUGAGGAGAAUGAGAUGCUCUUCUUUUUCUUUUCUCUCAGAUGGGUAUCAUGUACCCCUAAUUCUACUGUCGGACACUUGUCCAUUUUUACCUCUCGUCUCACUCUUUUUCUUUUCUUUCGAGGUUCCGGGCACUUGCCCCUUUUUAUUUCCUCGUUUAUUUAUUUUUUUUCUUUUCUUUUUUUUAUUCUUUUUUUUUCAGAGCACUCAUCUCUUGAGAUAAUAUAGCAAGUGGUAGUAGUAAGAUAACUUGAGCAUUUAUUUCACAAGGAAUAACAGGGAUAGGAAAAUGUUUUUGGCUAUUCUCUCCCGGAUUAGGAGUAGAAUGAUUUUGGGUGAAACUGGAAAUGGAUGGAUAUGUGGAUGGUACUUCCGGAGUAGAAGUAGCAUAUAUGAGUGAACGUGCAAGUGAAUCUUGAUUUAACCACAUGACAAGCUCCUAAGGGUCUACACAGCUUGACCACACUCAAUGCUCAUAAGCAGUAAAUAAAUGUGUGGCUCAAAGUCUAGCAAGCAUGUAUAUAUGGCUGUGGUAGGAAUUUAAACUUUCAUCAUACAGGAACUCAUCAUGCAAUAUUUUAAAGAUUUUUAAAGAUAAAAUUCUCCAGAAUUCUAGCAUCUCUAGGAAUAGAUAAACAGCAGCUCAACCUUCCCAUAUCAUAUCCGUUAACAACUUAGAUUUCAGAUCAAGUUUUCAUCCCACAAGUUUAGAUCUAGAGCAAGCUUUAAAUUAUAACAGUUAUGUCUAAACUUGAGAGAGAACUUCAAAUUUGCAAAUUAGGUAGAGCAACUAUUCAUCAUAUCCAUGCUAGAGUUUUAUUAUUAAGAUUCAGAUUAGCAUAGCUACUUUAUUUAUUUAUUAAACACACUAAGCAAAAGAUAUAUAUAUAAGCACAAAAUCUUUAUUUGGUUUUUCAUAGUUUAUGUAUUUUAAUAUUCUAAUAUAAUAUAAGUAUAAAGAUAGGUAGAAAUACUUAGCGAGAUAAAUGGGGGUGCUCUACCCCAAGCUGAAUUUUGACGUAAUUUCUCUUGAUGUAGCUAGCAGGUGGCAGAGGUGUAUUUGAAAGUCAGCAGCAUUCUGACAGCGAUUAGAAUGUCCUCCGUCUGCUAGUCUUCUUGAUUCUUAAAUUCUGUGGAGCUCAAAUAGACAACAAAGCUUGUGGAACUAAUUAAGUGUUAGCAUAAAUAUUUAGCCUUCAUCACAUUGAGCUUCCUCAAUAAAUAUUACUCCCUGUUUUUAUAUUUUUAUUUUAUAAAGUAGAAAAGAAAUAUUUAUUUUAUUUUUAUGCUACCACAGUGAAGGUACUUAUGGGUUUUAUGCCACUCGUAUACUCACAUGGGGCUUAGUUUUUUUAACAUUUUUAUUUUCUUUUCAAGAUAGCAUGAUUAACUAAUAAUCUAUUUAAGGCAAGUAAAUAAUUAAAGGGAAAAGGGAAUACAGAAAGGAUAAAUAUGGAUAACUACCAAUCUUACCUUUUGGCGAGGGUUCAAUGUUUUAAGUCUUCUUGACAAGACUUCUCACCGUGUUCAUUCUUCAGGUGCGUCAUUUGAUUCAGGUGCGGACCUUGACGUCUGCACCUUUUAAUACGGUGUCACCCAUGUUCUUCGUUUGCCCAGCAGUUCGAAGUGCGGUGUUAGCAGUAUCUUGCUCAAUGUGUUUGUGCUCGUAGUGUACCUGCUCAUAGAGACAAGGCAGAGAUCAAGUGCAUGGGCCCUGUUGGUGGAAAACACCAACAAAACCAAAAGUGUAUUUGUUCUUCUCUAACCUUAAGCAUAGUGAGCAAGACAAAGUUGAUGGAUGAUAAGUUCAUGAGUGUAGCACUUAUAACAUUUGUCAGAUCAGAUCGCUCAGCCUUAUGGAAAGAUAAUCUAUCUAUGUAUAUGUCUUUUUCUUUAUAUCUCUUAAUGAUUGAAUGUGUAACAUUUUAGCUCAUAUGAUUAGGAGUGUGGGAUCAUGGAGGUAGUACUAAGAACAAGGAUUAAAGGACUAAACAUGUUGAAUCCGUUAGGUUGGUUAAUCUAGAGUUGUAAAUCAUACAUGUUUGUCUCUUUUAUUUAUAUGAACGCUAGAACCAAGGAGAAGCUUAUAAAAGUGAUAGUCAAGUACCUUAAGAUGUUACCUUGCUUGAAGAGUGAUGGUACAGUAUCACCUUGUAGAAGCUUUCCUUUCUUAGCGGUUGUGCAUCGUGGUUGUGGCACCCUCCAUGGAUCAUCUCUCUAUGAUGAAUGAGCUAUGUUCUUCUUGUGCAAAUUGUUAAACUUCAUGUGUCACUCUCUUCGUCUCUGAUGUGAGUUUAUCUCAGGACUUCCCAAAUUGAUAUUGAAAGUUUUUCUGCAGGGGUUAGUCUGACAAAAUAUACCAAUAUCUACUCAAGCAGUUUUUUUUAGUUCAAUAACCAAACUAGACUCCAUGUCUAAUCAGAUUAAGGAAGGCUCCUUAACCUAAGCACCGUACUUAAUUUAAAUGCCAAUGGAAGUAUGACGAGUACUUCCAAACCAACACUUGCUAGUAAAUAGACAAAGGUAGCAUGACAACAUUUAUAGAGAUCUACUCAAGUGGAGAUGAAGUAGUGUGAUUAGUAUUUAACAAAUUGAGCAUGUCUCAAAGGUAGGGACAACCAGCAUAGCAACAUGGCAAAGGAUGUUUUUAUGUAAAGUACUCCCCUAAGCUUGAAUUUUACAAAAUUCAAGUUUGGAUGAAUUUAAUUCAAUGUUGUAUGAUGAUUGGUUGGACAUACCUUGUGCUUGUCAUUCAUCCGAUCUUCUUGCUCCAAUCCUAGAAAGGUUAGUGACAAGAAUACCCGAAGGAAUAUUUUUUUACAAUUAUCCUUAUGUGCUCAAUACACAAGGUAAUGUUGCAAAUAAUUAAAGGCUCAUGUUACGAUCUGAUCAAUGCUUAUUUUAAGACACUAAGCUUGUCCUUGGGAAACCAUCAGUUUAUGUUGGCGAAGUGGUUUCCCCUCCGACGCCAACCUAUAUCUAGAUCAACUCAACGAGAUCUGUAAUAUUUAUUAUAGACAUAUGCAUCGACAACCGCCCUUUUAAAGUUUUUAUAAAUAGAAAGGAAGAGGGGGUUGGAGAUCUCAAGUGUGGUG
rnacentral:lncRNA from 1 species